rnacentral:misc_RNA from 1 species
GAUGAAGAACGCAGCGAAAUGCGAUACGUAAUGUGAAUUGCAGAAUUCAGUGAAUCAUCGAAUCUUUGAACGCAUAUUGCGCUCUCUGGUAUUCCGGAGAGCAUGCUUGUUUGAGUAUCAGUAAACACCUCAACUCCCUUUUCUUUUUUGAAAUUGGAGCUGGACUUGAGUGAUCCCAACGCUUUCUUCCAAGAAAGUGGCGGGUUGCUUGAAAUGCAGGUGCAGCUGAACUUUUCUCUGAGCUAUAAGCAUAUCUAUUUAGUCUGCCUAAAAACAGAUUAUUACCUUUGCUGCAGCUAACAUAAAGGAGACUAGUUCUUGUGCUGACUGAUGCAGGAUUCACAGAGACAGCUUCGGCUGACUUUGUAAACUCGAUCUCAAAUCAAGUAAGACUACCCGCUGAACUUAAGCAUAUCAAUAAGCGGAGGA